CAUGCAGGCGGUCGGACGCGUUUUGUGUGACAGCGCGUGGCUCAACCACGCGAGCAUGCGAAAGACGGUUGGACUUGAGGGCUCGAGAGGGACACGGAAUUCCGGGUGGAGUGGUGAAAUGCGUAGAGAUCCGGAGGAACACUGAAGGCGAAGGCAGUGUCCCGGCGAGCGACUGACGCUGAGGUGCGAAAGCCAGGGGAGCGAACG
rnacentral:rRNA from 1 species